rnacentral:rRNA from 1 species
CCUACGGGCGGCAGCAGUGGGGAAUAUUGCACAAUGGGCGCAAGCCUGAUGCAGCCAUGCCGCGUGUGUGAAGAAGGCCUUCGGGUUGUAAAGCACUUUCAGCGGGGAGGAAGGCGUUAAGGUUAAUAACCUUGUCGAUUGACGUUACCCGCAGAAGAAGCACCGGCUAACUCCGUGCCAGCAGCCGCGGUAAUACGGAGGGUGCAAGCGUUAAUCGGAAUUACUGGGCGUAAAGCGCACGCAGGCGGUCUGUCAAGUCGGAUGUGAAAUCCCCGGGCUCAACCUGGGAACUGCAUUCGAAGUGGCAGGCUAGAGUCUUGUAGAGGGGGGGUAGAAUUCCAGGUGUAGCGGUGAAAUGCGUAGAGAUCUGGAGGAAUACCGGUGGCGAAGGCGGCCCCCUGGACAAAGACUGACGCUCAGGUGCGAAAGCGUGGGGAGCAAACAGGAUUAGAUACCCCAGUAGUC